AGCGAACGCUGGCGGCAGGCCUAAUACAUGCAAGUCGAACGAGAUCUUCGGAUCUAGUGGCGCACGGGUGCGUAACGCGUGGGAAUCUGCCCUUGGGUUCGGAAUAACAGUUGGAAACGACUGCUAAUACCGGAUGAUGACGUAAGUCCAAAGAUUUAUCGCCCAGGGAUGAGCCCGCGUAGGAUUAGGUAGUUGGUGAGGUAAAGGCUCACCAAGCCUGCGAUCCUUAGCUGGUCUGAGAGGAUGAUCAGCCACACUGGGACUGAGACACGGCCCAGACUCCUACGGGAGGCAGCAGUAGGGAAUAUUGGACAAUGGGGGCAACCCUGAUCCAGCAAUGCCGCGUGAGCGAUGAAGGCCUUAGGGUUGUAAAGCUCUUUUACCCGGGACGAUAAUGACAGUACCGGGAGAAUAAGCCCCGGCUAACUCCGUGCCAGCCGCCGCAGUAUAC
rnacentral:rRNA from 1 species